AGCGAACGCUGGCGGCAGGCCUAACACAUGCAAGUCGAACGAACCUUUCGGGGAUAGUGGCGGACGGGUGAGUAACACGUGGGAACGUGCCUUUAGGUUCGGAAUAACUCAGGGAAACUUGUGCUAAUACCGAAUGUGCCCUUCGGGGGAAAGAUUAAUCGCCUUUAGAGCGGCCCGCGUCUGAUUAGCUAGUUGGUUGAGGUAAUGGCUCACCAAGGCGACGAUCAGUAGCUGGUCUGAGAGGAUGAUCAGCCACAUUGGGACUGAGACACGGCCCAAACUCCUACGGGAGGCAGCAGUGGGGAAUCUUGCGCAAUGGGCGAAAGCCUGACGCAGCCAUGCCGCGUGAAUGAUGAAGGUCUUAGGAUUGUAAAAUUCUUUCACCGGGGACGAUAAUGACGGUACCCGGAGAAGAAGCCCCGGCUAACUUCGUG
rnacentral:rRNA from 1 species